CCUUCUGGUCUUCGGAAGCCUUAAUGAUUCAAGUCAUUACAAUAAACCUCGGGUCAUUAAGGACUGACCUGAGGAACACACACACACACACACACACACACACACACACACACACACACACACACACACACACACACACACACAUGUACAAACGAACACACAAUGUCGAGGGGUAUUUAUGGACGUCAAGCCAACAAGCACUUCACAGGCUCUCAAGGUGGUCUCGGGUCAAGAGGUCUCCUGUUCUUGUUUCCCGUAAACAUGAGGACCCCUGUACACCCCUGUAUCAAAUGUUCAUGGUGUAAUAAUUACUUCCCGUUGUCCGCACUCGUAGCUCAUAGGGCGGCCUGCCUUCCAGAGGGCCUUGGGACUGGAUCGAAAGAUAUAUCUACUAGAAACAAUGAAGAGACGUCGUCGACUAGCUCUGAUCGAUCAGAUGUCGGUUUCUCUCAACCAGACCCCAGCGAUAUUGGAAGUUGUUCUCCACGGGCGGGUCUCAGCGACGAGGCCAGUCAAAACCAAAGGACUAUCUCCGAAGAAGGCGGGUCUGGUAGGCUCAGCCAUUGGCCCUCCUCUUCAACGAUCGGUAGUGGACGAAAACGAAAACAAGCGAAUACAGGAACAAACGACACCUGCAGGAAAAAGCAAGCCCGUCGUGAGGGAUUCUCCCAUCCAAACAGUUCUCCACAGCCAGGACCCAGCGGUUAUAACCCGGGACGGCCGACAACAACACCCUCACCAACACCAGGUGAAAUAAGCCAACAUUUCAACGGGGCCUUAACAACGAUCGACGUGCCCGUCCCACCAGCAGACAACGGCGACAUUGCAUCAUAUUUCAACAACAACACUGGCCGUCUUCGCGAGGCAGUAGAGUCUGUAUUCCAAGGCUGCCAGCAGGUUAGACCU